rfam:Candidatus Nomurabacteria bacterium RIFCSPHIGHO2_12_FTLL_37_29 rifcsphigho2_12_scaffold_14643, whole genome shotgun sequence.
GGCAGGUGUUGGAUAGCUACUCUCCUUUUGGAGAGAGGAAAGUCCGAACACUACUCUAGCUUCGGCUAGAGAGAAUGGUAGCGGGUAACACCCGUAUGCAGUGAUGUAUAGGUGCGAGCAGAGACGUCUUGAUUCGAAAGAUUCAGGAUACCCAGAGAUGGGUAAGUCUUCAUAUAAACUUGGGGCCAAAAGUUCUGAGCGAAGUCGAAGAAUGAAACGGCUAAAUCCUUACCUUAGUGCAAGAUCGUGUCCUUCUUCGUUUUUUGCGAAUCAGGAAGAAUCGCUUGAGUUCUGCAGUAAUGCUGAACCUAGACAAAUUGCUAUCUCCCAAUUUUGUCCACCUAUGGUGGACAAAAUUGGGACAGAAUUCGGCUUAUAGACACCUGCAAAAA